rnacentral:snoRNA from 1 species
UUGGCUUCUUCGAAGAUCCUUAUACCUUUUCCUCCGUGGUAUAAUGAUUCAAAGAGAAACCUAGAUAAAUGAUUUCACAGCUAAUUUGGCUUUUACUCUUCAGUAACAAUAGGAAAAUUACGCUAUGGGAGUAGAACUGGCGAUUGUUAAUUGCCAGCUAUAAUUAGCCUGAUACAUCU